rnacentral:lncRNA from 1 species
ACGUAUAAGUUUGCACUAAAACAGUGACAAUUAUUUAGGAACGGAUGGAGUAUAUUGAAGGAAGUGCUGAACAAAGAGUCACCCAAUCAUGACCCUGACUCCCUACAGUCAAAUCUCUUCUUGUGGCUACCUGUGUGGCGAGUUUGCAAUACCACCGACCCUUAACAUUGGGGCCAACCAUUCAUAAACGGCAUCAAACUAGGCAAAGAAACAUAUUUGGGUUUUUUAUAUUGAUAACUCAAAAGUUUGUGAUCUUUAGAGAGAGAGAGAGAAAAUCUGUGGACUGUGAUAACUACGUAAUCGUUCUGAACUAGUGAUUUUUGUAAUUAUACACAACGAAAAUUGAAUACCAAAGGAGAAAAAGGUUAGAAAAAAAAAGAAGAAGCAACAUGAAGUAACCAACAACGCAUAUGGCAACGUUGGUGACGGGGAACAAGGUUUGGUGAUGGGGAACAAGGUUUUGUUCACAUCAGUAGCAAAUUAGGAACCCUUCAUUAGAUCAUAUAAGAGUUACACAUGCACU